CGGGAUGUAGCGCAGCCCGGUAGCGCGCUUCGUUCGGGACGAAGAGGCCGCUGGUUCGAAUCCAGUCAUCCCGAC
rnacentral:tRNA from 1 species